rnacentral:rRNA from 1 species
GCUUGACAUAUAGGGAAAAGUGGCAGAGAUGUCAUGUCCGCAAGGGCCCUAUACAGCUGGUGCAUGGUUGUCGUCAGCUCGUGUCGUGAGAUGUUGGGUUAAGUUCCCGGCAACGAGCGCAACCCUCGUUCUGUGUUGCCAGCAUUUAGUUGGGGACUCACAGGAGACUGCCGGGGUUAACUCGGAGGAAGGUGGGGAUGACGUCAAAUCAUCAUGCCCCUUAUGUCUUGGGCGGACGCAUGCUACAAUGGCCGGUACAGAGGGCUGCAAUACCGUAAGGUGGAGCGAAUCCCAAAAAGCCGGUCUCAGUUCGGAUUGAGGUCUGCAACUCGACCUCAUGAAGUUGGAGUUGCUAGUAAUCGUAGAUCAGCAACGCUACGGUGAAUACGUUCCCGGGGCUUGUACACAUCGCCCGUCACGUCACGAAAGUCGGUAACACCCAAAGUCAGUGGCC